rnacentral:rRNA from 1 species
AUUGAACGCUGGCGGCAUGCUUUACACAUGCAAGUCGAACGGCAGCGCGGGCUUCGGCCUGGCGGCGAGUGGCGAACGGGUGAGUAAUACAUCGGAACGUGCCCAGUAGUGGGGGAUAGCUCGGCGAAAGCCGGAUUAAUACCGCAUACGACCUGAGGGUGAAAGCGGGGGAUCUUCGGACCUCGCGCUAUUGGAGCGGCCGAUGGCAGAUUAGCUAGUUGGUGGGGUAAAGGCCUACCAAGGCGACGAUCUGUAGCUGGUCUGAGAGGACGACCAGCCACACUGGGACUGAGACACGGCCCAGACUCCUACGGGAGGCAGCAGUGGGGAAUUUUGGACAAUGGGCGAAAGCCUGAUCCAGCAAUGCCGCGUGUGUGAUGAAGGCCUUCGGGUUGUAGAGCACUUUUGGCGGGAACGAAAAGGACUGUGCCAAUACCACGGUUCGAUGACGGUACCCGCAGAAUAAGCACCGGCUAACUACGUG